UCCGGUUUGUCACCGGCAGUCUCCCUAGAGUUCCCAUCCGAAAUGCUGGCAACUAGGGACAAGGGUUGCGCUCGUUGCGGGACUUAACCCAACAUCUCACGACACGAGCUGACGACAGCCAUGCACCACCUGUGCACGGCCCGUAAGGACACCGUAUCUCUACGGCUUUUCCGUGCAUGUCAAGCCCAGGUAAGGUUCUUCGCGUUGCCUCGAAUUAAGCAACAUGCUCCGCCGCUUGUGCGGGCCCCCGUCAAUUCCUUUGAGUUUCAGCCUUGCGGCCGUACUCCCCAGGCGGGGCACUUAAUGCGUUAGCUCCGACACCGAAUGCGUCUAUACACCCGGCAUCUAGUGCCCAUCGUUUACGGCGUGGACUAC
rnacentral:misc_RNA from 1 species